CAAAAGUUUGAUGCUCCUUCCC
rnacentral:siRNA from 1 species